UACAGAGGUCUCAAGCGUUGUUCGGAUUCACUGGGCGUAAAGGGUGCGUAGGUGGUGGGGUAAGUCGGAUGUGAAAUCUCCGAGCUCAACUCGGAAAUGGCAUUGGAAACUACCCUGCUAGAGGGUCGGAGGGGGGACUGGAAUGCUUGGUGUAGCAGUGAAAUGCGUAGAUAUCAAGCGGAACACCAGUGGCGAAGGCGAGUCCCUGGACGACUCCUGACACUGAGGCACGAAAGCUAGGGGAGCAAACAGG
rnacentral:rRNA from 1 species